AAUUCUCAACCUCACCAACUUUUGUUGUGUGAAGGCUUGGAUCUGGGGGUUUGCAGGUUCACAACCGUGGUCUGCUCCUCUGAAAUGUAUUAGUGGGUUGGUCCCCUAACCUAUUGGUGUGAUAAUUAUCUACGCCGUGGGUUUGGAUGACUUCUAUAGACCUGCUUCUAACCGUCCUCCACCGGACAAUUCAUGACAA
rnacentral:misc_RNA from 1 species